rnacentral:rRNA from 1 species
UACGGAGGGCGCAAUCGUUAUUCGGAAUCACUGGGCGUAAAGCGCGUGUAGGCGGCUGGGCAAGUCGGAUGUGAAAUCCCGAGGCUCAACUUCGGAACUGCACUCGAUACUGCUUGGCUCGAGUCUCGGAGAGGGUGGUGGAAUUCCCGGUGUAGGGGUGAAAUCCGUAGAUAUCGGGAGGAACACCAGUGGCGAAGGCGGCCACCUGGACGGUGACUGACGCUGAGACGCGAAAGCGUGGGGAGAAAACAGG